rnacentral:tRNA from 1 species
UUCCUGGUGGCUUAAAUGGUAAAGAAUCUGCCUGAAGUGCAGGAGAACCAGGUUCAAUUCCUGGACGAGAAC